rnacentral:rRNA from 1 species
CCUANGGGUGGCUGCAGUAGGGAAUAUUGGUAAUGGGCGCAAGCCUGAACCAGCAACGCCGCGUGUGCGAUGACGGCCUUCGGGUUGUAAAGCACUUUUUCUCGGGACGAGGAAGGACGGUACCGGGAGAAUAAGCCUCGGCUAACUACGUGCCAGCAGCCGCGGUAAAACGUAGGAGGCGAGCGUUAUCCGGAUUUACUGGGUGUAAAGCGCGUGCAGGCGGCUCGAUAAGUUGGAUGUGAAAGCUCCUGGCUCAACUGGGAGAGGUCGUUCAAGACUGUCGGGCUUGAGGAUGGUAGGGGAAGGUGGAAUUCCGGGUGUAGUGGUGAAAUGCGUAGAUAUCCGGAGGAACACCAGUGGCGAAGGCGGCCUUCUGGACCAUUACUGACGCUCAGACGCGAAAGCUAGGGUAGCAAACGGGAUUAGAUACCCUGNUANUC